UACGAAGGGUGCAAACGUUGCUCGGAAUUACUGGGCGUAAAGGGCUCGUAGGUGGCCAACUAAGUCAGACGUGAAAUCCCUCGGCUUAACCGGGGAACUGCGUCUGAUACUGGAUGGCUUGAGUUCGGGAGAGGGAUGCGGAAUUCCAGGUGUAGCGGUGAAAUGCGUAGAUAUCUGGAGGAACACCGGUGGCGAAGGCGGCAUCCUGGACCGACACUGACGCUGAGGAGCGAAAGCCAGGGGAGCAAACGGG
rnacentral:rRNA from 1 species